UACGUAGGGUGCGAGCGUUAAUCGGAAUUACUGGGCGUAAAGUGUGCGCAGGCGGCCGAGCAAGUCGAGUGUGAAAGCCCCGAGCUUAACUUGGGAACUGCGCUCGAAACUACUUGGCUAGAGUGUGGCAGAGGGAGGUGGAAUUCCACGUGUAGCGGUGAAAUGCGUAGAGAUGUGGAGGAACACCGAUGGCGAAGGCAGCCUCCUGGGCCAACACUGACGCUCAUGCACGAGAGCGUGGGGAGCAAACAGG
rnacentral:rRNA from 1 species